UACGUAGGGUCCGAGCGUUGUCCGGAAUUAUUGGGCGUAAAGGGUGCGUAGGCGGUCGCGUAAGUCAGGUGUGAAAUCUCAGGGCUCAACCCUGAAACUGCACUUGAUACUGCGUGGCUCGGGUACUGGAGAGGAGACUGGAAUUUACGGUGUAGCAGUGAAAUGCGUAGAUAUCGUAAGGAAGACCAGUGGCGAAGGCGAGUCUCUGGACAGUUACCGACGCUGAGGCACGAAGGUCAGGGGAGCAAACGGG
rnacentral:rRNA from 1 species